GGCCUGUGAAGUAUCAGCUAGUUGGUAGUGUAAUGGACUACCAAGGCUAUGACGCUUAGGGGAGCUGAGAGGCUGACCCUCACCGAUGGGACUGAGACACGGCCCAUACACCUACGGGUGGCUGCAGUCGAGAAUCUUCCGCAAUGGACGAAAGUCUGACGGAGCGACGCCGCGUGAUUGAUGAAGCUCUUCGGAGUGUAAAGAUCUUUUAUGAGGGAAGAAGUUUAUUGACGGUACCUCAUGAAUAAGGGGCUCCUAAUCUCGUGCCAGCAGGAGCGGUAAUACGAGAGCCCCGAGCGUUAUCCGGAAUUAUUGGGCGUAAAGGGUGCGUAGGUGGUAGUGUUAGUCGUUUGUUAAAUCCUUGGGCUUAACCUAAGAAUCGCGAACGAAACGGCACAACUAGAGAGUGUGAGGGGUAUAGGGAACUCAUGGUGUAGGGGUGAAAUCCGUUGAUAUCAUGGGGAACACCAAAAGCGAAGGCACUAUACUAGCACAUGUCUGACACUCAAGCACGAAAGCGUGGGUAGCGAAUGGGAUUAGAUACCCCAGUAGUCCACGCCCUAAACGAUGAUCUCUAGUCUUUCGGAGUAUCGACCCUCUGAGAGACGUAGCUAACGCGUUAAGAGAUCCGCCUGGGAAGUACGGCCGCAAGGCUAAAACUCAAAGGAAUAGACGGGGACUUGCACAAGUAGUGGAUUAUGUGGUUUAAUUCGACGAUAAACGAAGAACCUUACCAAGGUUAGAAAUCAACGUGAAAGCCCCGAGAAACCGGGGCCCUCGCAAGACUAGUUGACAGGUGAUGCAUGGCCGUCGUCAGUUCGUGGUUUGAAUUGUUCCCUUAAGUGGGUAACGA
rnacentral:rRNA from 1 species